AGAGUUUGAUUCUGGCUCAGAACGAACGCUGGCGGCAGGCCUAACACAUGCAAGUCGAACGACAUAGUGGCAGACGGGUGAGUAACGCGUGGGAACGUACCUUUCGCUACGGAAUAGCUCUUGGAAACGAGUGGUAAUACCGUAUACGCCCUUCGGGGGAAAGAUUUAUCGGCGAAAGAUCGGCCCGCGUUAGAUUAGGUAGUUGGUGGGGUAAUGGCCUACCAAGACUACGAUCUAUAGCUGGGCUGAGAGGAUGAUCAGCCACACUGGGACUGAGACACGGCCCAGACUCCUACGGGAGGCAGCAGUGGGGAAUCUUGCACAAUGGGCGAAAGCCUGAUGCAGCCAUGCCGCGUGAAUGAUGAAGGCCUUAGGGUUGUAAAAUUCUUUCGCUAGGGAUGAUAAUGACAGUACCUAGUAAAGAAGCCCCGGCUAACUUCGUGCCAGCAGCCGCGGUAAUACGAAGGGGGCUAGCGUUGUUCGGAAUUACUGGGCGUAAAGCGCACGUAGGCGGACUUUUAAGUCAGAUGUGAAAUCCCGGGGCUCAACCUCGGAACUGCAUUUGAAACUGGAAGUCUGGAGUUCAGGAGAGGUUAGCGGAAUACCGAGUGUAGAGGUGAAAUUCGUAGAUAUUCGGUGGAACACCAGUGGCGAAGGCGGCUAACUGGACUGAUACUGACGCUGAGGUGCGAAAGUGUGGGGAGCAAACAGGAUUAGAUACCCUGGUAGUCCACACCGUAAACGAUGACAGCUAGUUGUUGGCAGGCAUGCCUGUCGGUGACGCAGCUAACGCAUUAAGCUGUCCGCCUGGGGAGUACGGCCGCAAGGGUAAAACUCAAAGAAAUUGACGGGGGCCCGCACAAGCGGUGGAGCAUGUGGUUUAAUUCGAAGCAACGCGCAGAACCUUACCUACCCUUGACAUCCCGAUCGCGGUUUCCAGAGAUGGAUUCCUUCAGUUAGGCUGGAUCGGUGACAGGUGCUGCAUGGCUGUCGUCAGCUCGUGUCGUGACAUGUUGGGUUAAGUCCCGCAACGAGCGCAACCCUCAUCCUUAGUUGCCAUCACGUUUGGGUGGGCACUCUAAGGAAACUGCCGGUGGCAAGCCGGAGGAAGGUGGGGAUGACGUCAAGUCCUCAUGGCCCUUACGGGUAGGGCUACACACGUGCUACAAUGGCAGUGACAAUGGGAUAAUCCCAAAAAGCUGUCUCAGUUCAGAUUGUCCUCUGCAACUCGAGGGCAUGAAGGUGGAAUCGCUAGUAAUCGUGGAUCAGCAUGCCACGGUGAAUACGUUCCCGGGCCUUGUACACACCGCCCGUCACAUCAUGGGAAUUGGCUC
rnacentral:rRNA from 1 species